rnacentral:rRNA from 1 species
CCUACGGGGGGCAGCAGUGGGGAAUAUUGCACAAUGGGGGAAACCCUGAUGCAGCGACGCCGCGUGAGUGAAGAAGUAAUUCGUUAUGUAAAGCUCUAUCAGCAGGGAAGAAAAUGACGGUACCUGUGUAAGAAGCCCCGGCUAACUACGUGCCAGCAGCCGCGGUAAUACGUAGGGGGCACGCGUUAUCCGGAUUUACUGGGUGUAAAGGGAGCGUAGACGGCAGUGCAAGUCUGGAGUGAAAGGCGGGGGCUCAACCCCCGGACUGCUCUGGAAACUGUCCGGCUGGAGUGCAGUAGAGGUAAGUGGAAUUCCUAGUGUAGCGGUGAAAUGCGUAGAUAUUAGGAGGAACACCAGUGGCGAAGGCGGCUUACUGGACUGUAACUGACGUUGAGGCUCGAAAGCGUGGGGAGCAAACAGGAUUAGAUACCCGGGUAGUC